UACGUAGGUGGCAAGCGUUGUUCGGAAUUAUUGGGCGUAAAGGGCGCGUAGGCGGCUCGUUAAGUCGGUUGUGAAAGCCCGGGGCUCAACCCCGGAGGGUCGACCGAUACUGGCAAGCUAGAGUACAGAAGAGGUAGCUGGAAUUCCCGGUGUAGCGGUGAAAUGCGUAGAUAUCAGGAGGAACACCGGUGGCGAAGGCGGCCCUCUGGACGGUGACUGACGCUGAGACGCGAAAGCGUGGGGAGCAAACAGG
rnacentral:rRNA from 1 species